UACGUAGGGACCAAGCGUUGUUCGGAUUUACUGGGCGUAAAGGGCGCGUAGGCGGCAAUUCAAGUCAUCUGUGAAAUCUCCGGGCUUAACUCGGAACGGUCAGAUGAUACUGCUUUACUAGAGUGCGGAAGGGGCAAUCGGAAUUCUCGGUGUAGCGGUGAAAUGCGUAGAUAUCGAGAGGAACACCUGAGGUGAAGACGGGUUGCUGGGCCGACACUGACGCUGAGUGCGCGAAAGCCAGGGGAGCAAACGGG
rnacentral:rRNA from 1 species